AAAGGAUUCCCCUCCCGUGUUCCCUCACUUCCCCGAUCGCAUAUGCUACCAUCGAUGCCGGUGAGGUCGCCGGCCCUCAUCUUCGUCUGCAACUUGUGCCUGCGAGCUCCCACCAUCAAGCGCAUCCAGCAGGUCGUGCUGCAACCCAUGGCCAUGUCCUUUGCAUCUCCGGCGACCCCCGGCUUCAGUUAAAUCUCCCAUGUCGCCGGUGGAAGAUCUUCAGCGUCUUGGACUGCCCACAUGGUUAUCUACAGAGCUACAGCUUGGAUUCGUGUGUAGUCGUUACUCACUCAUGCGAACUUCAGGGAGCUUUUGGUUAUUGGGUGCAACCUCUGGGAGACAGUAGCACGGGCUAUCUUCAGCCGAUUUGGCUGGCGAGCUAAUAAUAGGCUAGUGUGUAGGCAUCAUAGCUUGUGUUUAAUCGCCGGAUGUGACACUUUUCGGUUCUAUAUCGCCGGAGUGGCGCUUUUUAGAUUUAUUUUCUUUUGACUUCUGCUUAGUAUGACCUUUCAUAAAUCAACGUAUACAUGUACGUUUCCCAA